rnacentral:lncRNA from 1 species
GCACUACAUGGCCCGAAUCAUGGGAAGUUUAGACACAGCCUCGGGUUUAGGUAAACACCUCAGAACUUAAUAUCAAAUGCCUGUAGAGAGCAAGAUCAGAUGCAGACAUUGUUAAUGCCCGAGUAGUGAGUAUGAAUUGGACUAGCUAUCCUCAAAACUGCUCAGGUCAACUGACAUCAACAGUAGACCGACCACCGAACAGGGAUUAAGCAGGUACCAUCAGACUACUUGAACUACAUACUUCAAUUAGACUAACAGAAAAGAUAAGGUCAUUUAACUACAUACUUCAAUUAGACUAACAGAAAAGAUAAGGUCACUGCAUAUCAAAACUUAAGACUGGAAUUCAUUGAAUGUAUACUCGCAACAUAAACAUCACCAAAACCAGACAACUUCGACAAAAAAGAUUCCAAUUCAAAAGUGAUCUAGAGUCUCAUUAACGUUUAAGCUAAACUUGAAGCAAUACAACGAAAUGCUCCAGCGAAUGGCCAACAAGAAGAUAAAAGCUGGGCUCUCAC